rnacentral:guide_RNA from 1 species
AUUGUAUACCUAAUGGAUGAGAUAGAACACUACUCAGGUUGUUGAAUGG